rnacentral:rRNA from 1 species
AUGAACGCUAGCUACAGGCUUAACACAUGCAAGUCGAGGGGCAGCGGGAUUGAAGCUUGCUUCAAUUGCCGGCGACCGGCGCACGGGUGAGUAACGCGUAUCCAACCUUCCGCUUACUCGGGGAUAGCCUUUCGAAAGAAAGAUUAAUACCCGAUGGUAUCUUAAGCACGCAUGAGAUUAAGAUUAAAGAUUUAUCGGUAAGCGAUGGGGAUGCGUUCCAUUAGGCAGUUGGCGGGGUAACGGCCCACCAAACCUACGAUGGAUAGGGGUUCUGAGAGGAAGGUCCCCCACAUUGGAACUGAGACACGGUCCAAACUCCUACGGGAGGCAGCAGUGAGGAAUAUUGGUCAAUGGGCGAGAGCCUGAACCAGCCAAGUAGCGUGAAGGAUGACGGCCCUACGGGUUGUAAACUUCUUUUGUGCGGGAAUAAAGGAACCUACGUGUAGGUUUUUGCAUGUACCGUAACGAAUAAGCAUCGGCUAACUCCGUGCCAGCAGCCGCGGUAAUACGGAGGAUGCGAGCGUUAUCCGGAUUUAUUGGGUUUAAAGGGAGCGUAGACGGGUUUUUAAGUCAGCUGUGAAAGUUUGGGGCUCAAACUUAAAAUUGCAGGUGAAACUGGAGACCUUGAGUACGGUUGAGGCAGGCGGAAUUCGUGGUGUAGCGGUGAAAUGCUUAGAUAUCACGAAGAACCCCGAUUGCGAAGGCAGCCUGCUAAGCCGCCACUGACGUUGAGGCUCGAAAGUGCGGGUAUCAAACAGGAUUAGAUACCCUGGUAGUCCGCACGGUAAACGAUGGAUACUCGCUGUUGGCGAUAGACAGUCAGCGGCCAAGCGAAAGCGUUAAGUAUCCCACCUGGGGAGUACGCCGGCAACGGUGAAACUCAAAGGAAUUGACGGGGGCCCGCACAAGCAGUGGAGUAUGUGGUUUAAUUCGAAGCAACGCGAAGAACCUUACCAGGUCUUGACAUCCCGAUGACCGGUUCAGAGAUGAGCUUUUUCUUCGGAACAUCGGUGACAGGUGGUGCAUGGUUGUCGUCAGCUCGUGUCGUGAGAUGUUGGGUUAAGUCCCGCAACGAGCGCAACCCUUAUUGCCAGUUACUACGCAAGAGGACUCUGGCGAGACUGCCGUUGACAAAACGGAGGAAGGUGGGGAUGACGUCAAAUCAGCACGGCCCUUACGUCCGGGGCUACACACGUGUUACAAUGGGGAGUACAGAGGGCAGCUACCGGGCGACCGGAUGCGAAUCCCGAAAGCUCCUCUCAGUUCGGACUGGAGUCUGCAACCCGACUCCACGAAGCUGGAUUCGCUAGUAAUCGCGCAUCAGCCACGGCGCGGUGAAUACGUUCCCGGGCCUUGUACACACCGCCCGUCAAGCCAUGAAAGCCGGGGGUACCUGAAGUACGUAACCGCGAGGAUCGUCCUAGGGUAAAACCGGUAAUUGGGGCU